rnacentral:rRNA from 1 species
UACAGAGGGUGCAAACGUUGCUCGGAAUCAUUGGGCGUAAAGCGCACGUAGGCGGUCCGACAAGUGGGGAGUGAAAGCCCUCGGCUUAACCGAGGAAGUGCUUUCCAAACUGCCGGACUUGAGUACGCAAGAGGAUCGCGGAAUUCCCGGUGUAGAGGUGAAAUUCGUAGAUAUCGGGAGGAACACCUGUGGCGAAGGCGGCCCCCUGGUUGGAUACUGACGCUGAUACGCGAAAGCGUGGGGAGCAAACAGG